rnacentral:rRNA from 1 species
UACGUAGGGUGCGAGCGUUGUCCGGAAUUACUGGGCGUAAAGAGCUCGUAGGUGGUUUGUCGCGUCUGCUGUGAAAACUCGGGGCUUAACUCCGGGCCUGCAGUGGGUACGGGCAGACUAGAGUGCGGUAGGGGAGACUGGAAUUCCUGGUGUAGCGGUGAAAUGCGCAGAUAUCAGGAGGAACACCGGUGGCGAAGGCGGGUCUCUGGGCCGUAACUGACGCUGAGGAGCGAAAGCGUGGGGAGCGAACAGG